rnacentral:rRNA from 1 species
CCUACGGGAGGCAGCAGUGGGGAAUAUUGCACAAUGGGGGAAACCCUGAUGCAGCGACGCCGCGUGAGCGAUGAAGUAUCUCGGUAUGUAAAGCUCUAUCAGCAGGGAAGAAAGUGACAGUACCUGACUAAGAAGCCCCGGCUAACUACGUGCCAGCAGCCGCGGUAAUACUUAGGGGGCAAGCGUUAUCCGGAUUCACUGGGCGUAACGGGAGCGCAGGCGGCACGGCAAGUCUGGUGUGAAAACCCGGGGCUCAACCCCGGGACUGCAUUGGAAUCUGGCGGGCGGGCGUGUCGGCGGGGUAAGCGGAAUUCCUAGUGGAGCGGGGAAAUGCGUAGAUAUUAGGAGGAACACCAGUGGCGAAGGCGGCUUACUGGACGAUGACUGACGCUGAGGCUUGAAAGCGUGGGGAGCAAACAGGAUUAGAUACCCGAGUAGUC